UUUUAGUCCUGAUAGAAGCGGCAUCUCCCGAUUUAGAAAAACAAGGCCUUUUGCUGUAGUUUUUGUUAAUCGGGAAUAUAGCGGACAGCAGGAAACCAU
rnacentral:sRNA from 1 species